GCGGCCCGAGCAGGCCUCUGAGGCGGCGGGCGCGCUCUCUCCUUAAUUUCCUGCUCGGAGCUUAGUCAUUUCUAUUUUUCGUCGCAGAGCAAAAUAAUCAGCAUUGUCUUUCAUCGUUAAUUGAGCCACGCUGCCUUUCAGUCAUUAUGGACCUGAUCCUGGGCCUCUGGAGUCAGCAGGAAUUUUGCACAGCUGUCCCAAGAUGAAUCAAUUGAUGACAAAAAAGAAAAAUCAAGAUGAUUCUAAGAUCCCUGUCAUGGUGUUUUGCUUCCCAGACCCCUGCACCUCCAUUGCGGACUGCAGAAAGUAUGGAGAUCAUUAAGUACUUGAGGACCAUGUGCAGUUUGAGGCUCAGGACACUUAAAUCUCAGCAGAGAGGAGGAAUCUAUAACCAUCUACUUCUCACAGCUGGCAUGCAACAGAUGGGAUCCUUCAGCUGUGUGUGCUUCCUGUCAGGCAGUCUCUCAGAACUGGAGAACUGGGUGGUUUGAUUUCAUAAGGAGCACAACACUUGUCCUCGGACCAAGGUAUUGUGCCUACAACCCAUCACAGAAAGCCUUGAGAAAGAGCUGCACCCCCA